UCCAGCUUCCACCAUUGACUUUGCUCAUCUAAAGCCAGCUAGGAAGGUUGCAAAUGGCCUUCAUUAUGACUUCAGGAUGCUGCAACCAUCAUAUAAAUACAUACUGGUUGCCAAGCAUCCAAAUCACAAUGAUGUCAUUGAGAGGGAUACUGUAAUGGUUAUAAGUGUGAGAACAGGUUAUAAGUCAGUUUUCUCAGAGCUGUGAAACUUCAAAUGGUUGGUAAACAAAUUGUCAUAAGUUGAGGACUUAUAUUGGUGCUAAAGAAGGGCUGUCUUAUAUUUUUGAGGUGCUUUUGGGGGACAAGGUUCUAUGUUACUCAAAGUUGAUAUUCUUCUUGGACACAAAAUCCAAUCUCCCUCAGCCAGCACUGUCAGUUCUGAUGUGGGCUGAUGGGAGAUUCACUCCAACACCCUAAGAGGGCACCAUCUUGAGGAGAUACAGUAAAAAAUGGACAGUCAUCAUUGCACAAUUUCAUAAUUUUAUACAACUUCAUACACAAAACCUGACACACAGCUGACACAUUGCAUUCUUAUAUUACUUCCAUAUUAAUGCAGUUGUGAUGAUUCCAUUCAAGAAUGAUUUGAUGAGCAUUCUCUGAAUAGAUAACUGCUUUCAGAACUAAUUUCCAGUGGCUAUGAUAUAUUCACCUAGACAGAAACUGAGUUUUCCUUAAUUAUUCAAUAUAAAAACAUUAUAUAAAAGUCACUUUUCCUAUACUGCCCAUUUAAACAAUAUUGCUAAGAUAUCAGGGAUUAAUUAGACAUUUCCAAUAUUCAUUUCUACAAACUGAUUUUCAGUUUAAGGUUCUUCUGACAUUUCCAACAGCAAUGACAAUUAUUGUGGUAUCCAGUUUUUACACUGAAUUUGCUCUGGGGAAGUAAUGAAGAUGCUAUUUGACUUCUCUUUCUGUUUUCUGGACAUUUGUUCUGCCACUGUAUGCUAUUGUAAGGACCCACCUCAGCUAACCAACCAAGAAAGCAGAACUCUUGAAACAGAGCGUACCGGCAGGGAGGCGGGUGUGCCAACUCUCCACUAAAGAAAUAGCUACCGCAGAAAGAAAACUAUGACAAGCAUCAAGAAUAUCCCAGGCUUUUUGGCCUUGACCAAUGAUGAGAACUGAAAAAUGAAUCUGACCAGGAACAAGAACUUUAUAAUAUGAGGAAUAAUUAUUUGUAAUAGCCUAGCACCCUGAGAGAAAUUUUUCUUUGAUUAAACUCUAUUAAGUUUCUGCCUGAAAUAUAUAUA